UACGUAGGCGGAAAAUUAAGUCAGUGGUGAAAUCCUGCAGCUUAACUGUAGAACUGUCAUUAAUACUGGUUUUCUUGAAUACAGUUGAGGUAGGCGGAAUGUGUAAUGUAGCGGUGAAAUGCUUAGAUAUUACACAGAACACCGAUUGCGAAGGCAGCUUACUAAACUGUUAUUGACGCUGAGGUACGAAAGCGUGGGGAGCGAACAGGAUUAGAUACCCUGGUAGUCC
rnacentral:rRNA from 1 species